UCUCCGUUGGUGAACCAGCGGAGGGAUCAUUAUCGAGUUUAUAACUCCCAAACCCUAUGUGAACUUACCACUUGUUGCUUCGGCGCGCGCUUCGGUGCCGCCGAGGACACUUAAACUCUUUGUUUUUAUAAGCAUUUCUGAGUGGCCGAAAGGCAAAAUACAAAUGAAUCAAAACGUUCAACAACGGAUCUCUUGGUUCUG
rnacentral:misc_RNA from 1 species